rnacentral:lncRNA from 1 species
AAAAACUACAUUAGAGUCUAGAAAAACUUUUUUUAUGACUAUACCAAUUUCCCCUUUGUUAUUGUGGUAAAAAAAUGUUUAAACCUUUACUCCAAUUGUCAAAAGCACAAGUAAAAGAGCAAAACAAAUGUUUGGUGGCCCAAGCCCAUGAAGACAUACCUACAUACAUAUACAUAGAUAACCCUAAUUAUUUAUUGAUAGAAAGUAGCCGUCACAUAAUUUUCUUUGGUUCCUUGCUUCUUCUCACAUUCCACUCUUCUUCUUCCCAUGAACUGUCAUUCUUUUACACCAUUUCUUUUUCUUUCUUC